CAGUGCCACGGUAAGACAGAGGAUGCAAGCGUUAUCCGGAAUGAUUGGGCGUAAAGCGUCUGUAGGUGGCUUUUCAAGUCCGCCGUCAAAUCCCAGGGCUCAACCCCGGACAAGCGGUGGAAACUACCAAGCUGGAGUACGGUGGGGGCAGAGGGAAUUUCCGGUGGAGCGGUGAAACGCGUUGAGAUCGGAAAGAACACCAACGGCGAAAGCACUCUGCUGGGCCGACACUGACACUGAGAGACGAAAGCUAGGGGAGCAAAUGGGGUUAGAUACCCGCGUAGUCCCUGUCUCUUAUACA
rnacentral:rRNA from 1 species